rnacentral:rRNA from 1 species
AGAGCGAACGCUGGCGGCAGGCUUAACACAUGCAAGUCGAACGGACUCUUCGGAGUUAGUGGCGGACGGGUGAGUAACACGUGGGAACGUGCCUUUAGGUUCGGAACAACACAGGGAAACUUGUGCUAAUACCGGAUAAGCCUUUCGAGGGAAAGAUUUAUCGCCUUUAGAGCGGCCCGCGUCUGAUUAGCUAGUUGGUGAGGUAAAGGCUCACCAAGGCUACGAUCAGUAGCU